UACGGAGGGGGCUAGCGUUGUUCGGAAUUACUGGGCGUAAAGCGCGCGUAGGCGGACCUGCAAGUCGGGGGUGAAAGCCCGAGGCUCAACCUCGGAACUGCCUUCGAUACUGGAAAGCUCGAGUCCGGGAGAGGUGAGUGGAACUGCGAGUGUAGAGGUGAAAUUCGUAGAUAUUCGCAAGAACACCAGUGGCGAAGGCGGCUCACUGGCCCGGUACUGACGCUGAGGUGCGAAAGCGUGGGGAGCAAACAGG
rnacentral:rRNA from 1 species